rnacentral:rRNA from 1 species
CGUAUGUGGGCGACUCUAAGGAGACUGCCGGGUGGACAAACCGGAGGAAAGGUGGGGAUGACGUCAAGUCAUCAUGGCCCUUACGGCCUGGGCUACACACGUGCUACAAUGGUCGGUACAAAGGGUUGCCAAGCCGCGAGGUGGAGCUAAUCCCAUAAAACCGAUCGUAGUCCGGAUCGCAGUCUGCAACUCGACUGCGUGAAGUCGGAAUCGCUAGUAAUCGUGAAUCAGAAUGUCACGGUGAAUACGUUCCCGGGCCUU